rnacentral:rRNA from 1 species
UACAGAGGUCCCAAGCGUUGUUCGGAUUCAUUGGGCGUAAAGGGUGCGUAGGCGGCGCGGUAAGUCGGGUGUGAAAUCUCGGGGCUUAACUCCGAAACUGCAUUCGAUACUGCCGUGCUUGAGGACUGGAGAGGAGACUGGAAUUUACGGUGUAGCGGUGAAAUGCGUAGAUAUCGUGAGGAAGACCAGUGGCGAAGGCGGGUCUCUGGACAGUUCCUGACGCUGAGGCGCGAAGGCCAGGGGAGCAAACGGG